UACGUAGGGUGCAAGCGUUGUCCGGAAUUAUUGGGCGUAAAGAGCUCGUAGGCGGUUUGUCGCGUCUGCUGUGAAAACUCGGGGCUUAACCCCGGGCCUGCAGUGGGUACGGGCAGACUUGAGUUCGGUAGGGGAGACUGGAAUUCCUGGUGUAGCGGUGGAAUGCGCAGAUAUCAGGAGGAACACCGGUGGCGAAGGCGGGUCUCUGGGCCGAUACUGACGCUGAGGAGCGAAAGCGUGGGGAGCGAACAGG
rnacentral:rRNA from 1 species